rnacentral:rRNA from 1 species
AACGAACGCUGGCGGCAUGCCUAACACAUGCAAGUCGAACGAGACCUUCGGGUCUAGUGGCGCACGGGUGCGUAACGCGUGGGAACCUGCCCUUAGGUUCGGAAUAACUCAGAGAAAUUUGAGCUAAUACCGGAUAAUGUCUUCGGACCAAAGAUUUAUCGCCUUUGGAUGGGCCCGCGUAGGAUUAGCUUGUUGGUGGGGUAAUGGCCUACCAAGGCGACGAUCCUUAGCUGGUCUGAGAGGAUGAUCAGCCACACUGGGACUGAGACACGGCCCAGACUCCUACGGGAGGCAGCAGUGGGGAAUAUUGGACAAUGGGCGAAAGCCUGAUCCGGCAAUGCCGCGUGAGUGAUGAAGGCCUUAGGGUUGUAAAGCUCUUUUACCAGGGAUGAUAAUGACAGUACCUGGAGAAUAAGCUCCGGCUAACUCCGUGCCAGCCGCCGCAGUAAUAC